UACGAAGGGGGCUAGCGUUGCUCGGAAUCACUGGGCGUAAAGGGUGCGUAGGCGGGUCUUUAAGUCAGGGGUGAAAUCCUGGAGCUCAACUCCAGAACUGCCUUUGGUACUGAAGAUCUUGAGUUCGGGAGAGGUGAGUGGAACUGCGAGUGUAGAGGUGAAAUUCGUAGAUAUUCGCAAGAACACCAGUGGCGAAGGCGGCUCACUGGCCCGAUACUGGCGCUGAGGCACGAAAGCGUGGGGAGCAAACAGG
rnacentral:rRNA from 1 species